ensembl:lncRNA
AGGUUAAACAGAUCUUCAGUAGUAAUUAUCAGUGAAUGAAAAGCAUAACAAGGGCAAAGAAAUGUGUGUCUUCAUGAAGGAUGGAUGUAUCUGACCUUCACAGGGAGCAGCAGAAAAGGGGGUCCCAUGCAGAAAUGGCUACCAGAAAAUUACUCAGGAUGGCUUUGAUGUGGAGCUGGGAAGAGAAUCUGAAUCUUAGGAUUGUCAUCUCCUGUGCCUCAGAAUAUCCACUGCUGAGAGAGCCUUCUCUCUGCAGACAGGUGACCCCUGUGUGCCAUCCCAGAUGGAGAGGCAGUGGCUGCCCUCAGGUGGGCAGGACAACCCCUCUCUGAUAAGGAAAUGUUUUGGCAGUGGAACCAGUGAGAGGUAAAAUUUUAUGUUGGUCUGUGCAGGUAUUUGAAUGUGAUUAACUCAGAAUGUGAGAGCAGCCCCACUUAAUCCUGUGGGAAUAAUUAUGGAAUAAUGUUAUCCACAGGCAGUGCAGGAGGGAGCUGGUCUUUGUGGCUGUGGUUUAGCUGCUGCUGNNNNNNNNNNNNNNNNNNNNACAUUUUAUAAUUGGCUCACACUUAUUAAGCUAUUGCUCUCAUAUUUUGAGAAAAAUUGUCAUUCUCCCAUCUUGCAUUCUCACACCAAAUAGGAUGGGAUUUUAAAGAGGUCUCAGAGUUUUAAAAUUAUUCACUUUCAUCAGUUACCACUGAGUAACUGGGAUUUAUUCGGGGCCUUUCGUUUGCUCUGGAGAUCUGUGAGUUCCCCAAGUUCCCACAAGUAUUUUUUAGUCACAUCCAUUGCUUUGGAUGGAUAUGUAAAUUCAUUUCUUUGUGUUUCAGUGUUUUUGGUCUGCUGGUGUGUUUGUUUUAAUGCCAGGGAGUGGUGGAUUUUAUGAUUAACCACAACCCAAUGGCAAAUACCAUGCUGUCAUUUAAAGACUGGAAGGAUGAAGCUGUUGAUUGUGAAAGCAGUUUUUCUAAGAAUAGGACUUGUCUGGUUUCUUCUUUAGUUUGAAUUACCUUCGCUAUUUAUGCUGUUAUUCCUGCUCCUUCCCAUUUCAGAGGAGCCCUAAAUUCUGGCUCAGAGCAGGUUGGUUCUGCUUCAGCUCUGCAGCUGUUCACAUUGGUUAACACCCUUAUGCUGCUGCUUAUUCCCACACCAAGAGUUUUCAGACAUGAGGAGUGUCUUUGUUUGAUGCCACUUGGCCUCAGUGCACCAGCACAGCUCACUCACUGCAGUAACCACGGAGGCUUUGCUUCACUUUCCCUCUUGCAGUGUUUGCCAGCAAUGAAAAGCUGCCCUGGAGCUCUGCUACAGCUGUGACAACCUGCAGGGGGUUGUCACUUCGUGUUUAACCCUCACCUGAGCCUGCUGCUGAGGGACACCCUGCUCUGCCUUGGUGUUGUGGGUUUGGUGAUGUCUCUGGCUUUUCCUGCUGUUCAGAGUAACCCAACAUUUCCAUUCCAGCACUGUUGGUGUCUUCAGCUGUUCCUAAACUCCUCCUCUAAUCCCUCAUCUGGGUACAGCUUGACCUAAUUUACUGUGCUCCUGCCAGCUAUGCCAGUUUCAUAAGGAGGGGUAAGAUGUGGAAUUCGUGUGAAAUACUUUGCUAUAUUGCACAAGAGUGUUUUUUCUUUCUGUUAUAACAAGGCACUUGUUUAUGUGUAUGUUUAAUUUAAAACCAUCUCUCUUGAUGCUCCUUUAUUUCCCUUGUGAAUAAAUAAAGCUAUUUUAAAAGGAAAAAAAAAAGC